rnacentral:rRNA from 1 species
CCUACCCUACGGGAGGCAGCAGUGAGGAAUAUUGGUCAAUGGGCGCGAGCCUGAACCAGCCAAGUCGCGUGAGGGAAGACGGCCCUACGGGUUGUAAACCUCUUUUGUCGGGGAGCAAAGCGAACCACGUGUGGUUCAUUGAGAGUACCCGAAGAAAAAGCAUCGGCUAACUCCGUGCCAGCAGCCGCGGUAAUACGGAGGAUGCGAGCGUUAUCCGGAUUUAUUGGGUUUAAAGGGUGCGCAGGCGGAGGUGCAAGUCAGCGGUCAAAUUGCGGGGCUCAACCCCGUACUGCCGUUGAAACUGC